CUAUAUUGCGGAAUAACUUUAAAGAAACGAAUGUCGUGCUCAAAGAAGGAAAUCUGAUUUCAUCGAUUUCCAUUGAUGCCAAAAAUAGAAUGAUGGCAUGGGUCACAACACAGAACUAUUUUAUUCAAAUUUCUGCCCUUGAUGGAAGUGGAAAACGAACCUUAGUGAGAUCAUUGGGAAUAUAUCACAUUUUUCUUAGUCCAUUUAUGGAUAGGCUGUUUUGGACGACUUGUGGGGGUGUAAUGAGUGUAAACACAAAUGGUACGAAUGUAGAAGUCAACAGAUUUGCUGAUGGAGG